CAGAUUCACUUCGGUGAUGACGCUGGGAACGCGAGCGGCGGAUGGGUGAGUAACACGUGGGUAACCUGCCCUAAAGUCUGGGAUACCACUUGGAAACAGGUGCUAAUACCGGAUAACAACAAUAGCUGCAUGGCUAUUGCUUAAAAGGCGGCGAAAGCUGUCGCUAAAGGAUGGACCCGCGGUGCAUUAGCUAGUUGGUAAGGUAAUGGCUACCAAGGCGACGAUGCAUAGCCGAGUUGAGAGACUGAUCGGCCACAUUGGGACUGAGACACGGCCCAAACUCCUACGGGAGGCAGCAGUAGGGAAUCUUCCACAAUGGGCGAAAGCCUGAUGGAGCAACGCCGCGUGAGUGAAGAAGGUUUUCGGAUCGUAAAGCUCUGUUGUUGGUGAAGAAGGAUAGAGGUAGUAACUGGCCCCUAUUUGACGGUAAUCAACCAGAAAGUCACGGCUAACUACGUGCCAGCAGCCGCGGUAAUACGUAGGUGGCAAGCGUUGUCCGGAUUUAUUGGGCGUAAAGCGAGCGCAGGCGGAAAGAUAAGUCUGAUGUGAAAGCCCCCGGCUUAACCGAGGAAUUGCAUCGGAAACUGUGUUUCUUGAGUGCAGAAGAGGAGAGUGGAACUCCAUGUGUAGCGGUGGAAUGCGUAGAUAUAUGGAAGAACACCAGUGGCGAAGGCGGCUCUCUGGUCUGUAACUGACGCUGAGGCUCGAAAGCAUGGGUAGCGAACAGGAUUAGAUACCCUGGUAGUCCAUGCCG
rnacentral:rRNA from 1 species